rnacentral:rRNA from 1 species
AGUGAACGCUGGCGGCAGGCCUAAUACAUGCAAGUCGAACGGCAGCACAGUGGAGCUUGCUCCAUGGGUGGCGAGUGGCGGACGGGUGAGGAAUACAUGGGAAUCUGCCCAGUCGUGGGGGAUAACGUAUGGAAACGUACGCUAAUACCGCAUGCGCCCUUCGGGGGAAAGUCGGGGACCGCAAGGCCUGACGCGAUUGGAUGAGCCCAUGUUCGAUUAGCUAGUUGGCGGGUAACGGCCCACCAAGGCGACGAUCGAUAGCUGGUCUGAGAGGAUGAUCAGCCACACUGGAACUGAGACACGGUCCAGACUCCUACGGGAGCAGCAGUGGAAUAUUUGGGACAAAUAGGGCGCAAGCUCGAUCCAGCCAUGCCGCGUGAGUGAAGAAGG